GGCAGGCAUGAGGCCAUGCUGCCUCUGAGAUAGAGAUAGAGAGAGACACAGAGAGAGAGACAGAGCGAGAAAGGGCGGGAUUUCACAGAUUUGCAAAUUCAUCCCCUUGCUGACAGUUCCGAUCUGAUUUGAAGAUUUGUCAACUGGCUAUAAUUUCAUGGUAGCUUGGUUUAAAGCGGUUCCAAAAUAUGGGAUCGUUUGGAAUAUGUUCCCCUCUCUCUCCAUCUCAGAUCUCUGCAGUUUCAUAAAUUAGGGUCACAAAUUUCUCUCUAACUUCUGAUUUUUUAAUUUGUGCUCAGUUUUUUGUUUGUUCAGAUUUUCGACCUAUGGUCUGAUUGACAUUGGGUUUGCUCGAGUUUACAGAUCUAUGUGUGCAGCAAGCAAAAUCCUUUCAUUCAUAUGAGCUUCUUGAUCCUCUUUAACUUCACAGCAGCUGACCUACCUGGGUGCGCACCAUCAGGGUGUAUUAUUCUUUGUUUUCAGGAUAGGUGCAUUGAGACCUAAAAAUGUAUGCGUGAACUUCAUACAUUUUUGUGAGGCUCGGAACCUUGAAGGGAUUUUGGAUCGUUGGAGUAAAAACUUGGUUCUUUGGCAUUUGAAGGGCUAAACAUGUUCGUCCACCGAAAAAAUGACUGACUAGAGUCUCCAUUAUAAAUUGCCACAAAGUUGCUCUGCCGUUUUUUGCCUUUAAAACAUGUACAGCUGAAAACUUAGUUGUUGAAGCAACAACAGAACCUUUUUUUGAGUUUUUUGUAACUGCUUAAACAAGUGCCUAGAUUCUAGAGUAUGUAUUUUGUCACCUUAACUAUAGGGGAAAAUAUGUGUCAACUACAUCUUCCUUUUGUAACUAACAAAAACAGGCAUCCUACAUCUUUAUUCCUUUGAACAUUUGGCUUUCUUUUUUGUAAGUACUUAAACAGGUGCCUAAGACUGCAAGGCCUGUAUUUUGUCACUAUAACUACAAGGGAAAAAUAUGUGUGAACUACCACUUUCUUUUAUAACUUAUGGAAACAAGCAUACUGCAUCUUUGUUACUUUGAACAUUUAUACUUGAAAGAUUAGCUUCCAAAAAAAUUGCUUUUUAUUUAAUGUUGAUAUGCGUACUGUUUUUAGUUAAUAGAAAUUGGCUGGUAAUUAACAAUAUUACCAUUUAGAUGCCUUCAAUUGUUCUUAUUGAAAGUAUUUAGUUGAAUUCUACUAUUUACA